UGCCAGCCGCCGCGGUAAUACGAAGGGUGCUAGCGUUAUUCGGAAUCACUGGGCUUAAAGGGUGCGUAGGCGGUCUUGUAGGUCAGAUGUGAAAUCCCACGGCUCAACCGUGGAAUUGCGUUUGAAACCACAGGACUUGAGUAAGAUAGAGGUAAGCGGAACUGAUGGUGGAGCGGUGAAAUGCGUUGAUAUCAUCAGGAACACCGGUGGCGAAAGCGGCUUACUGGGUCUUUACUGACGCUGAGGCACGAAAGCUAGGGGAGCGAACGGGAUUAGAUA
rnacentral:rRNA from 1 species